UGGAUACAUUAGAUCUUGGGGAGAGGUUUGGUGGGUAGAUAUAGUCCCAGCUGGAUCAAGUAAUGGCAGCUUUUUUGUUCUAGCUUUAAGGCCUGAUGCUACUAGUAAAGGAGGCAAACACCUGUGAUUUCAGGCUCUUCUUCAAGCAUGACUGAAAAUUGAAGGUUCCUCAGCCAGUUCUCCCUGGACACUGGGCUGGGGUCUCCUUGUGCUGCUGUAUAUGAGGAGGCAAAGAGCAGCUCCACACUGAUGCCAGCACAAAAGGAAGGAGAAAGCGGGGCCAAGAUUCACUCCUUCAGGGAAAUCUGGCAUACAGAGGUUCUUUCCUUUGACAGGACUACUUCUCUGAGGCUUCCCACAUACAAUAUUUGAAAGAUUAAGCAGUCUGACAUGCCAGGUCAUCAUCAUUUCCUUUCUGGACUCGUGGUUGCUACAGCCUUGAUGCAGCUUGAUGCUUUCCAAAUAGAAGCAGGAGUUUCUUUGUGGAUGUUUACCCAUGCUACUCGCAGCACAAUUGCUUAUGGUCAUGCAGUUCAGUCCCUGUCAAUGAUCUCUGCUUUGCCAAGAGGUUUUGCUUAGAAAAGAAGUUCCAAUAGUUUUACUGGUCACGCUUUACAUCAGUGUAAUAACAAAGCAGCAUCUCUAACAUUUUUAUGUCAUCAUAUAUUAAAAUAUAUAUGUAUUUCAACAAACAUGAAUUAAAAUCACAAACACAAAGCAUAAAACAUCAUUGGGAAAUGAGUGAGUAGGGGAUCACUGAAGUGGGGAUUCAUUUCUCAAACAGAAAAAUUGAGUCCAUGAGAACUUGUAGUUUUCCCUAGCCACAUAGAAGGUUGUAUUGCUGAGAACAAGACUCACUUCUCUGGAAUUUCUGCUCAGUGUUUCAGCUCAAAACUGUUUGUUAAAAAGCAAACCAAAUGCACAAUGUGGAGCAACUCAUCAGCUGGGGACAGAUCUGACAUAGAUGCUCAAGACUGCACAUUAUGCAUCUGUAACAUCUUCCAGUCUUGCUGGCAGGAGAAAGAAAAGAGCACUAAUUCUGAUUUGUUUAUGCUUGCUCUGGCUGUUUUGAAUUAUUGAUAUGUCCCUUGAAACUGUCUCUGAUCAUUUCCCAUUGAGCACAGAGGCAUGUACUGGUAAGCAGAGACCUGGCCUUGCUGCUGGACUUUCUCCUGCUGAACUCAGCAUACAAGCUGUUCAUAGCAGUAACAGAUGUUUCUGCUUUUUAAGGUCUGUGGGAACCUCA